UACGAGGGGUGCAAGCGUUGCUCGGAAUUACUGGGCGUAAAGCGCGUGUAGGCGGCCCAGCAAGUCGGAUGUGAAAGCCCUGGGCUUAACUCAGAGGCUGCUCCCGAAACUGCCGUGCUUGAGUGCGGGAGAGGCGAGUGGAAUUCCCGGUGUAGCAGUGAAAUGCGUAGAGAUCGGGAGGAACACCAGUGGCGAAGGCGGCUACCUGGACCAGCAUUGACACGUCAAGCACGAAAGCGUGGGGAGCAAACAGG
rnacentral:rRNA from 1 species